AAAUUAUAAGUACAUAAUUUCAAAUGACAUCAAUAGUUUCUUUCUACAACUUAUCUCGACUUAAAUGGAACAAAAGAUUUCCGUCGGUCAAAUCUUAUACCUGGACUAUACAACCAUAUCAAAAACUGAAUAUUGUUCAACAAGUUCACUAGAAUACACAUCACAUUAAUUCAUAAGAGAAAGCAUUAUAUACCACAAUGCAGAACUGGACUUGGUCGUUUUACUUCUGAAGGUGCUGCUGGUAGAACAUGAACUUGCUGUGCCUUACUAGCAUUGUAAACUUGACCAGGACUGAACGGUUCUAAUCUUGAACUAGAAGCUAUCUCAGUUUUACGAACCAUAUCUUUAAAAAGAAGUUAAUGGAUGUUAGCAACAUAAACUUACAAAAAUACGAAGUAAAUUAUGUUAAAAGGUCAAAGAUAUAAGUAAUGAAAUAAGAGAAUGAAAAAACAAGAGUGAAAAUCCUUUAGUGUUAGAACACUUACCACUCUUGGACUCUGGUGCUGGAAUAU